rnacentral:rRNA from 1 species
AUGCAAGUCGAGCGAACAGACGAGGAGCUUGCUCCUCUGACGUUAGCGGCGGACGGGUGAGUAACACGUGGAUAACCUACCUAUAAGACUGGGAUAACUUCGGGAAACCGGAGCUAAUACCGGAUAACAUGUUGAACCGCAUGGUUCAACAGUGAAAGACGGUCUUGCUGUCACUUAUAGAUGGAUCCGCGCCGCAUUAGCUAGUUGGUAAGGUAACGGCUUACCAAGGCAACGAUGCGUAGCCGACCUGAGAGGGUGAUCGGCCACACUGGAACUGAGACACGGUCCAGACUCCUACGGGAGGCAGCAGUAGGGAAUCUUCCGCAAUGGGCGAAAGCCUGACGGAGCAACGCCGCGUGAGUGAAGAAGGUCUUCGGAUCGUAAAACUCUGUUAUUAGGGAAGAACAAAUGUGUAAGUAACUAUGCACGUCUUGACGGUACCUAAUCAGAA